rnacentral:lncRNA from 1 species
CAAGAUUAGGCAUCUGGUGAGGGCCUCAGGCUCUUUCAAUUCAUGGUGGACAGCAGAAGGGGAGCCAGCAAAGAAAUCACAUGGUGAGAGAGGAAGCAAGAGAGUGAAACCGAGGAAAAUAGAUUCGUUUUAACAACCUGCUGUCUUGGGAACUAAUCGGCCUUGCCAGAGUGAGAAUUUACUCACUACCAUGAGAAUGGCACCAAACCAUUUAUGAAAGAUGCACCUCCAUAGCCCCAAACACCUCCCACUAAGCCCCACCUCUCAACACUGUCACACUGGGGCUCAAAUUUCAACAUGAUAGUUGAUGGAGACAAACUCAAACUCAAGGGUGUUUGAAUAUCCAAACCAUGGCAGCUACUAAAGAUUUUGAGUAGGAGUAUAACAUUAUCAGAUUUGUGAUUCCUAAAGAACACUCUGGCUACAAUGUGGAGAACAGAUUACAAGGGAACAAGGUGAAUUUGGAAGAGCAGCCAUGGUCCAGGCAGCGGCUGUAAAGGUCUUUGUUGCUGUUGCUGCCAUGUUAAUGACCCAGCUUGGGGCGCUGCCGCCGCCGCCGGCCGCUUCUUCCAAAGAAAACAAAUCAAAGUGAGUAACUCGAUGUCCGGCAAUGAGUUUUCCAUUAUAUAAAAAUAAGUAUAAAUCUUUCGCAGUU